AAUGUAUUCAAUGAGUUUAUAGCCUUGGCCGACAGGACCGGGUAAUCUUUGAAAUUUCAUUAUUAUGGAGAUAGAUCAUUGCAAUUGUUGGUCUUCAAC
rnacentral:ncRNA from 1 species